GAAAGAGCAGCUAAUACCGCAUACGACCUGAGGGUGAAAGCGGGGGAUCGCAAGACCUCGCGCGAUUGGAGCGGCCGAUAUCAGAUUAGGUAGUUGGUGAGGUAAAGGCUCACCAAGCCGACGAUCUGUAGCUGGUCUGAGAGGACGACCAGCCACACUGGGACUGAGACACGGCCCAGACUCCUACGGGAGGCAGCAGUGGGGAAUUUUGGACAAUGGGCGCAAGCCUGAUCCAGCCAUGCCGCGUGCGGGAAGAAGGCCUUCGGGUUGUAAACCGCUUUUGUCAGGGAAGAAAAGGUUCUGGCUAAUACCUGGGACUCAUGACGGUACCUGAAGAAUAAGCACCGGCUAACUACGUGCCAGCAGCCGCGGUAAUACGUAGGGUGCAAGCGUUAAUCGGAAUUACUGGGCGUAAAGCGUGCGCAGGCGGUUAUGCAAGACAGAGGUGAAAUCCCCGGGCUCAACCUGGGAACUGCCUUUGUGACUGCAUGGCUAGAGUACGGUAGAGGGGGAUGGAAUUCCGCGUGUAGCAGUGAAAUGCGUAGAUAUGCGGAGGAACACCGAUGGCGAAGGCAAUCCCCUGGACCUGUACUGACGCUCAUGCACGA
rnacentral:rRNA from 1 species